GGCGGAACGGGUGCUGGCAGUCUCUGGUCGGGCGGUGGCUUCUGAGCCUCGCUGAGUCCUCAUGGCUUGUGUUUAUUUUUUCCACUGUAUGGAAACAGACUUGAAUGCUUAGAACCCAAGGUCUUGGGCCACACUGGGAACCCCUGCUGUGUGUGCACCUGAGUGAUCGGCUCGUGCACACCUCCCCUGGGAAGCUCAGGGAAUCACAUGAUGGCAGCUCUGCACCUAUCUUCCUUUUCCCAGGCCAAGGUGACUUUCGAGGACGUGGCCGUGCUCCUCUCCCCAGAGGAGUGGGGACAUCUGGGCCCUGCUCAGAGGAUGCCUCUACAGGGACGUGAUGCUGGAGACCUACAGGAACCUGGUCUCCCUGGGUAAGGCCCCUCACAGGACGAAGCUCAGGGAAUAGCCCUGGGCACUGAGGGCUCACAGGGGCUGAGCUAGGGACCUCAUCCCUGGACCCAGAGACAAGUUUGGUCUGUCCGUGCCCUGGAGGAGCCCAGUGGGGCUCUGUCAGCCUCUCCUUCCUUUGAACUCCUGGAUAGACUCUCUCUGCUCCUGGCUGGUGGCAGAUCGUUUCCCAGGGGAAGCUGGGAGCUGUACAGUACUGGUGGGACAGGCCUCUUGUCCUGCUGUCCCCUGUGCUCAGAUCUUCAUCUCUACAACCAUCCUAGCCGCUCAGGGUGUUCUGAUUCCCCAUCACUCUUGUACCUGCCUUUCUCCUCCCCCUGCGGGCCCCCAGUCCCAUGUCCUUAGCACCAACCCCAGGCCCCAUCUCCUUCCUGGGAGCUGGACCUGCAGGUCCCAAGCCUGGGGUGAUCACACAGUUGGAGCAAGGGGAUGAACCACGGGUCCUGAACACGCAGGGUGCUGAGGGGAGAGAGCGGUUGGGAGUCGAUGGCUCAGGUGCGCAAGGGGCUGGUUCUCUCACUAGUCACUGAACAAGCAUUCGUGGGGUCCAGGGUAUGCAGCUAAUGACUGAGAAGUUUGGCGGAAGAUGCCUCUGGGCCAGUACAGCAGCUCUGGGAGUGGCCUCUGCUGAAACCUCCAUCUGAGUACCUCAGUAUUCAGGUGUUCAGUGCCUUGAACUGAAUCUUGUAGGCAGUGAGAGGGGCAGCGUCAUCGGAGAGGGAAGGGCCCAUGGGGUCCUAGGGAGUCCUGCCCCCAAGAGCUCAGCACUAGGAGUGAUUGAGGUUAGAUGGGCCUGUUGCUUCACCGUUUCUCCAUUCCCAGACCAUCACAUCACCCCAUGUGCUAUAGUCCACACCUGCUGUCUCUGUUCUAGCCCUGUGUGGUCCGUGCUUGUCACUCAGUGUGUGUCCAUUUCUGUGCAUAGGAGUCUCGGUCGCUGCUGUUGCUGGAAGUGCCAGCAGGAAGGGUGUUCUCUAGUUUCACUGAAGUGGACCGUGCUGCCCCAGUGCUGCCCGUCUUGAUAAUGUCCUAGGAAGAAACCCCAGGUUCAAAGGACUUGAAUUUCUCCUUUGUAAAUUUAUACAUUUGAAUUUAAAUACUUACAGAAAUGGGAUAAACCCUGAGUUUAUAUAGCUCAGCAAAUGUUUACACACAAAAAAACAAACCUCCCACAGAUCAACAUACAGAAUGUUUCUGGGAGCCUAUGGGGCCUCCUCUCUCAUUUCCUGCUGUGCCCUGAGGUCCCUUCCCUCUGCGGCCUGGGUGCUGUCUGCUAGAUGCCGGUGGGUAUCACAGCUUUAGAGGCAUGUCUGUGUUGUGUGGAGUUUGUUCCGCACCAUUGCAGUAGUGUUCUAUUGUGAAUGUACAAGUUAUUUUCUGUUAUAUUGUUGAGGUCAUUGAAUUAUCCCCAUUUUGGGGUUGCUGUGUCUCUUGGAUCACUGACAACAUGUUUUUGGGGUGUGUGUUUCUACCCAAGGAAUUGCUGAGUGAGUGUCUAGUCAAGGAGGGGAGGAGGGGCAGCCUGCUUAAAGCCUUCCUGAUGGAAGCAUUCUGGUUGGCAUGUUGAGUUUAAGGUACUGGUGGCUCACUGGUGGCUUCUCGUGCCCCAGGAAAGAGCCCUGGAGUGGGAAUGGCCUGCUGAGAGAGCCAGGGA